GCCAGAGUAGCUCAGUUGGUAGAGCGACCCCUUCGUAAGGGGUAGGUCGGGGGUUCGAAUCCUCUCUCUGGCU
rnacentral:tRNA from 1 species